ensembl:rRNA 5S_rRNA 5S ribosomal RNA
GCUUACGGCCACACCUCAUUGAGCACGUCUGAUCUCGGAAGCUAAGCAGGGUCGGGCCCGGUUAGUACUUGGAUGGGAGACCGCCUGGGAAUACCAGGUGCUGUAAGCC